rnacentral:rRNA from 1 species
GACAGAGGGUGCAGACGUUGUUCGGAAUUACUGGGCGUAAAGCGCGUGUAGGCGGCCCUGCAAGUCGGAUGUGAAAUCCCACGGCUCAACCGUGGAAGUGCAUUCGAAACUGCAGGGCUAGAGUCCUGGAGAGGAAGGUGGAAUGCUUGGUGUAGAGGUGAAAUUCGUAGAUAUCAAGCGGAACACCGGUGGCGAAGGCGGCCUUCUGGACAGUGACUGACGCUGAGACGCGAAAGCGUGGGGAAGCAAACAGG